rnacentral:lncRNA from 1 species
UUUGACCAGUUUAGCAUUAUAUACUGUUCCACACUAUCUCUGGUAAUUGUCUUUGCUCUGAAGUUUGCCUUCUGAUAUUAAUAUUGUCACUCCUGCUUUCUUUUGAUUAAUCUUCACGAUAUAUCAUUUUUCAUCCUUUUAUUCUCAACUUGGUUGGACAAAUGCAUAAUGACAUGGAUCCACCAUUAGAGCAUCACACAGAGUAUUUUCACUGCCUUAAAAAUCUCCUCUGCUCUGCCUACUCAUCUUUCCCUCCCCACUAAUGCCUAACAACCACUGCUCUUUUCACUGUCUCCAUGGCUCUGCCUUCUCCAGGGUGUUGGAAUCAUACACUAGGCAGCCUUUUCAAAUUAGCUUCUUUCACUUAGUAAGAUGCAUUUAAGGAUCCUCGGCUGGGCGCAGUAGCUCAUGCCUGUAAUCCCAGCACUUUGGGAGGCCAAGGUGGGCGGAUCACCUGAGGUCAGGAGUUCAAGA